UUUUAAUUUUAAUUUUUAUUUUUUUCUUAGAUCUGUUUAAAUGUCACCAUGGCAGCCUGUGUGUCUCCAACAUCAGCUACACAAAGCAGCAAGUCCAUUUGGAUCAUUGGAGACAGCUGAGUGAGGCGUGGUGCCCAGAGAGCUGCAGAGACCGGAGACAACCUUGGCCUCCCUGACGUCUGUGUCUCCAGGUUCGGUUGGGGUGGACCAUCGACAUACAUACAUGUGCCGACACUUUGCGCCCUGUUUUAUAAACUGUAGUGUUAAAAAUAAAUGUUUUUGCUCAA